rnacentral:rRNA from 1 species
AGUGAACGCUGGCGGCGUGCUUAACACAUGCAAGUCGAACGAGAACGGGAUAUAGCUUGCUAUAUUUGUCAGCUAAGUGGCGCACGGGUGAGUAAUGUAUAGAUAACCUGCCCUCUAGAAAGGAAUAACAGUUGGAAACGACUGCUAAUGCCCUAUAUGCCUUUAAUACAUAAGUAUGCAAGGGAAACGCUUUAGUGCUAGAGGAUGGGUCUGUAUGGUAUCAGCUUGUUGGUGAGGUAAUGGCUCACCAAGGCUAUGACGCCUAACUGGUUUGAGAGGACGAUCAGUCACACUGGAACUGAGACACGGUCCAGACUCCUACGGGAGGCAGCAGUGGGGAAUAUUGCACAAUGGACGAAAGUCUGAUGCAGCAACGCCGCGUGGAGGAUGACACAUUUCGGUGCGUAAACUCCUUUUAUAUAGGAAGAUAAUGACGGUACUAUAUGAAUAAACACCGGCUAACUUCGUGCCAGCCGCCGCCGUAA